UAUCGGUUUUCUUGAACUUCGCUAGCUGCUACCUCUAGUUUCUAUUACACUUCUAUAAAUCGAACUGUCUUCAUCACCAUUUCUAUUCCAUUUCUUCAGCUUCCAUAACCACUCUGCAGUUUCUAUCAAAUUCUUCUCUAUAUAUAUGAUCGGAACGGCGGGCUUUAGUUACGACCAUAUCAGAUGAUGAUCAGAUGGGAAAUGUAUAUAUCAGUAAUAACCAAAUAAAAUAAGGGUCAAGGUCAAUCAGACAACCAAGUUGAGGUAUUCGUAAGAACUGCUUGCUUGACGAGGCUUUGUAUGGACAUCAACAUUGUCAUCAUUUGUUGCACAAACCUCGCUAAUCAACCAUAUAUAUAUUCAACCUCUUGCUGGUAUAGUGGUCUCUCUCUCUCUCUGCAUUUGACAUAUUGCCUUCACAUCCACACUACAUGAAUAAUAACAUCAAAAAUUUCCAAUUGAGAUUGAUAUCCAGACGGACAUGAUGAGAAAUCAAGAGAAGCAGCUGUGGUUCAAAGAGUAGUUGGUUACCCUUGGUAACGUGUAGUGAUCAGAGAGAUGAUUAGAUGAAUAUAGCUGGCAUAUGCAAAUACAGUCAGAAGUUUUUGGGUUCACCCAAAUAAUUCGGUUUUGUGUAUAUAUUUUAUAUUCUAAAAAUAAAUGUAUAGAUAAUAAAUAAAUAAGUUAUUUCUCAUAAAAUUCAUUAAAUUUGAUACAUUUGUGUAUUAAUAUAGGGUCUCGGCCCAAUUUAUUAUGGAAUCACAUUGAUAUGACUAGUAUUUUUGUAUGAGAAAAUUUUACAAACGGUACCCCAAAUAAAAGUCAUUCAUCAUUUUAGUACAUCAAUUUCAAAAACUCUCAUAUUAGUACCUCAACAUUAAAACUUGAACCACUUUUAGUACAUACUGUCUAUGACGGCGUCAACUCCAUUAUCACGUAAACUAUUUCAUGGGCAAUUUCAUCUUUU